GUCCUCUAUUCUAGUCGUCUCCUCCAUCCUCCAGCCGCCACUGGCGUUUGUGCUUCCCCGACGCCGCUCCCUCCCCAUCGCUCUCUCUCUCUUGCUCUCUGCUAUCUCUCGGCCGCCCGCCAGCAACAGAGCAGAGUAGCAUGCCACCGCCGCAAAAUUCAUGGAGCUCGACCUCAAAUCGGAUGAGCCCAAGCCACGAGAGGUGAGGAGGGAGGUAGCAGAAACUUCCCCGAGCUUUCCCCGCCGGAUUCCCAUCAAAUCCCUGCCGGAUCAGGUGUGCCGACGCGUCUCUUUCCCAUCUCUGGCCGGUGAGCCCCCGCAUGCAUCGCACCAGUCGGCCGAGCUCCAACUUCCAACCGCGCUCUCGCCGUGGACCAGCGGCUGCUACUCCUCAUCCUCCUUGCGGCAGCCUCGUGCGUCAACGUCGCCGUGACCGAAGCGCCGUGCCCUGUCACGUCCUCUGCCUUCUCCAUGUGGGCUCUCGCCUCCGCCGCGCUCGCUGUGCUCCCGCGCCGCGGUGCCGAGUGAAGAGGUUGUGUUUGGCUGCCGUCAGCGUCCACGCCCUGCAAUCGAUGAGAUGAUGGCGUGGCCGUGGCGGCAGCCGGCAUUCGAUCUCUUCAAAAUCACACUAUCCAGUUUCCACAUGCAUUUACUUUUUCCUUUAGUUUAUUCGGAAGCUCAAAAGGACUCCGCCAACCAUCUCACUAUUGUGAUCAAAAUAUACAAUAAAAGAAAUUUUUAUUGCCUGAA